rnacentral:rRNA from 1 species
GACGAACGCUGGCGGCGUGCUUAACACAUGCAAGUCGGACGGUAAGGCCCUUCGGGGUACACGAGUGGCGAACGGGUGAGUAACACGUGGGUGAUCUGCCCUGCACUUCAGGAUAAGCCUGGGAAACUGGGUCUAAUACCGGAUAGGACCCUGGGAUGCAUGUCCUGGGGUGGAAAGCUUUUGCGGUGUGGGAUGGGCCCGCGGCCUAUCAGCUUGUUGGUGGGGUGAGGGCCUGCUAAGGCGACGACGGGGAGCCGGCCUGAGAGGGUGACCGGCGACACUGGGACUGAGAUACGGCCCAGACUCCUACGGGAGGCAGCAGUGGGGAAUAUUGCUCAAUGGGCGCAAGCCUGAUGCAGCGACGCCGCGUGAGGGAUGACGGCCUUCGGGUUGUAAACCGCUUUCAGCACCGACGAAGCGAAAGUGACGGUACUUGCAGAAAAAGCGCCGGCUAACUACGUGCCAGCCGCCGCGGUAA